rnacentral:rRNA from 1 species
GCCGGAAAAACUUCUAUGCGUUGAACCUGUUCUGCCCGUACCGCAAACCGACACUGGUAGGCGAGGAGAGUAUCCUCAGGCGAACGAGAGAACCUUCGUUAAGGAAUUAGGCAGCAUGUACCCGUAACUUAGGGAGAAGGGUAGCCCGCGGUGAUGUUGUCAUACGAUGAUGUCAUUGUGGGUCGCAGAUGAGAGGCUCUAGCGACUGGUUAACUAAACCACAGGUCUCUGCGAAGCCGUAAGGCGACGUAUAGGGGCUGACACUUGCCCAGUGCUGGAAGGUUAAAGGGAGAGGUUAGCGCAAGCGAAGCUUUGAACUGAAGCCCCAGUGAACGGCGGCGGUAACUAUAACCGUCCUAAGGUAGCGAAAUUCCUUGUCAGGUAAGUUCUGACCCGCACGAAUAGUGUAACGACUGGAGCACUGUCUCAACGAGGGACUCGGCGAAACUGAAUUAAUGGUGAAGAUGCCAUUUACCCGCGCCCGGACAAAAAGACCCCGUGGAGCUUUACUGUACCUUGGCAUUGCGCUAGGGCUUUGACUGUGUAGCAUAGGUGGGAGGCUUUGAAGCUGGUGCGCUAGCAUCGGUGGAGCCGUCAGUGAAAUACCACCCUGUUGGAGUUUUGGCCCUAACCGUACUCCGUAAUCCGGAGACGAGACAGUGCCAGGCGGGCAGUUUGACUGGGGCGGUCGCCUCCUAAAAUGUAACGGAGGCGCCCAAAGUUUCCCUCAGGCUGAAUGGAAACCAGCCGUUGAGUGUAAAGGCACAAGGGAGAUUGACUGCAAGACCUACAAGUCGAGCAGAGACGAAAGUCGGGCUUAGUGAUCCUACUGAUCUUGGUGGAAAGGCAGUAGCUUAACGGGUAAAAGCUACCCCGGGGAUAACAGGCUAGUGAGGCCCAAGCGUCCAUAGCGACGGCCUCGCUCGGCACCUCGAUGUCGGCUCGGCGCAUCCUGGGGCUGGAUAAGGUCCCAAGGGUUGGCCUGUUCGGCCAUUAAAGCGUUACGUGAGCUGGGUUCAAACCGUCGUGAGACAGGUUGGUCUCUAUCCGGCGUGGGCGCAGGGGAUUUGAGAGGAGCUGUUCUUAGUACGAGAGGACCGGAAUGGACGUACCUCUGGUGUGCCAGUUGUUCCGCCAGGAGCAUCGCUGGGUAGCCACGUACGGCAAAGAUAACCGCUGAAAGCAUCUAAGUGGGAAACUUGCCUCAAGAUGAGAUCCCCCCGAAGACCGCCAGUAGACUACUGGUUUGAUAGGCGACAGGUGUAAGGCCGGCAACGGUUUUAGCUAAGUCGUACUAACGGUCGUUUGGCUUAAACC